GAUGAAGAACGUAGCGAAAUGCGAUAAGUAAUGUGAAUUGCAGAAUUCAGUGAAUCAUCGAAUCUUUGAACGCACAUUGCGCCCGCCAGCAUUCUGGCGGGCAGGCCUGUUCGAGCGUCAUUUCAACCCUCGAGCCCCCCCGGGGGCCUCGGUGUUGGGGGACGGCACACCAGCCGCCCCCGAAAUGCAGUGGCGACCCCGCCGCAGCCUCCCCUGCGUAGUAGCACACACCUCGCACCGGAGCGCGGAGGCGGUCACGCCGUAAAACGCCCAACUUUCUUAGAGUUGACCUCGGAUCAGGUAGGAAUACCCGCUGAACUUAAGCAUAUCAAUAAGCGGAGGA
rnacentral:misc_RNA from 1 species